UCGGCCACAUUGGGACUGAGACACGGGCCCAAACUCCUACGGGAGGCAGCAGUAGGGGAAUCUUCGGCAAUGGACGAAAGUCUGACCGAGCAACGCCGCGUGAGUGAAGAAGGUUUUCGGAUCGUAAAACUCUGUUGUUAGAGAAGAACAAGGAUGAGAGUAACUGUUCAUCCCUUGACGGUAUCUAACCAGAAAGCCACGGCUAACUACGUGCCAGCAGCCGCGGUAAUACGUAGGUGGCAAGCGUUGUCCGGAUUUAUUGGGCGUAAAGCGAGCGCAGGCGGUUUCUUAAGUCUGAUGUGAAAGCCCCCGGCUCAACCGGGGAGGGUCAUUGGAAACUGGGAGACUUGAGUGCAGAAGAGGAGAGUGGAAUUCCAUGUGUAGCGGUGAAAUGCGUAGAUAUAUGGAGGAACACCAGUGGCGAAGGCGGCUCUCUGGUCUGUAACUGACGCUGAGGCUCGAAAGCGUGGGGAGCAAACUAGGAUUAGAUACCUCUGGUAGUCCACGCUCGUAAACGAUGAGUGCUAAGUGUUGGAGGGUUUCCGCCCCUUCAGUGCUGCAGCUAACGCCNUUAAAGCCACUUCCGCCUGGGGAGUACGACCGCAAG
rnacentral:rRNA from 1 species